rnacentral:lncRNA from 1 species
AUUCGUGCCAUGAUUUUUCAAACUCAGAUCUAUUGAGUUGGGGGAUGAAUCUGAUAUUGGUGUUAUAGGAGAUGUUUGGGUGGUUGUUGGUGAUGAUUUUCCACCACUUAGAGUGCUGCAAUCCGGUGGUUUUGGUGGUGGAUCAAGUUUGUUGGAGUUUUGGAGGUUUUCUCCCAUUCUAGAGAGAAGGGAGAGCGUUUUGGAGGUAGAGAGAGAAAAAGGUUUUUUGGUUUGGUUUAGGGUUUAGGGUUU